rnacentral:rRNA from 1 species
AUGGUUAAGUUAGAAAGGGCGCACGGUGAAUGCCUUGGCACUAGGAGCCGAUGAAGGACGGGACUAACACCGAUAUGCUUCGGGGAGCUGUAAGUGAGCUUUGAUCCGGAGAUUUCCGAAUGGGGAAACCCACUGUUCGUAAUGGAACAGUAUCUUUAUCUGAAUACAUAGGAUAUUGAAGGCAGACCCGGGGAACUGAAACAUCUAAGUACCCGGAGGAAGAGAAAGCAAAUGCGAUUUCCUGAGUAGCGGCGAGCGAAACGGAAUUAGCCCAAACCAAGAGGCUUGCCUCUUGGGGUUGUAGGACACUCUAUACGGAGUUACAAAGGAACGAAGUAAAUGAAGCGACCUGGAAAGGUCCGUCAAAGAAGGUAACAACCCUGUAGUUGAAACUUCGUUCCCUCUUGAGUGGAUCCUGAGUACGGCGGAACACGUGAAAUUCCGUCGGAAGCUGGGAGGACCAUCUCCCAAGGCUAAAUACUACCUAGUGACCGAUAGUGAACCAGUACCGUGAGGGAAAGGUGAAAAGCACCCCGGAAGGGGAGUGAAAGAGAUCCUGAAACCGUGUGCCUACAAGUAGUCAGAGCCCGUUAACGGGUGAUGGCGUGCCUUUUGUAGAAUGAACCGGCGAGUUACGAUCCCAUGCAAGGUUAAGCUGAUAAGGCGGAGCCGUAGCGAAAGCGAGUCUGAAUAGGGCGUUUAGUAUGUGGUUGUAGACCCGAAACCAGGUGAUCUACCCAUGUCCAGGGUGAAGUUCAGAUAACACUGAAUGGAGGCCCGAACCCACGCACGUUGAAAAGUGCGGGGAUGAGGUGUGGGUAGCGGAGAAAUUCCAAUCGAACCUGGAGAUAGCUGGUUCUCUCCGAAAUAGCUUUAGGGCUAGCCUCAUGUUGUGAGAGUCUUGGAGGUAGAGCACUGAUUGGACUAGGCGCCCCCAACGGGUUACCGAAUUCAGUCAAACUCCGAAUGCCAAAGACUUAUCCAUGGGAGUCAGACUGCGAGUGAUAAGAUCCGUAGUCAAAAGGGAAACAGCCCAGACCACCAGCUAAGGUCCCCAAGUAUACGUUAAGUGGAAAAGGAUGUGGAGUUGCUUAGACAACCAGGAUGUUGGCUUAGAAGCGUACCACCAUUUAAAGAGUGCGUAAUAGCUCACUGGUCGAGUGACUCUGCGCCGAAAAUGUACCGGGGCUAAACGUAUCACCGAAGCUGUGGAUUGACAUCUUUGAUGUCAGUGGUAGGAGAGCGUUCUAAGUGCUGUGAAGUCAGACCGUAAGGACUGGUGGAGCGCUUAGAAGUGAGAAUGCCGGUAUGAGUAGCGAAAGACAAGUGAGAAUCUUGUCCACCGAAUGCCUAAGGUUUCCUGAGGAAGGCUCGUCCGCUCAGGGUUAGUCGGGACCUAAGCCGAGGCUGAAAAGCGUAGGCGAUGGCCAACAGGUUGAUAUUCCUGUACCACCUCCCCGCCGUUUGAGUAAUGGGGGGACGCAGUAGGAUAGGGUAAGCGCGGCCGCUGGAUAUGCGCGUUCAAGCAGUUAGGCUGAUGAGUAGGCAAAUCCGCUCAUCAUAAAGGCUGAGCUGUGAUGACGAGGGAAUUAUAGUACCGAAGUUCCUGAUUCCACACUGCCAAGAAAAGCCUCUAGCGAGGCGGGAGGUGCCCGUACCGCAAACCGACACAGGUAGGCGAGGAGAGAAUCCUAAGGUGAUCGAGAGAACUCUCGUUAAGGAACUCGGCAAAAUGACCCCGUAACUUCGGGAGAAGGGGUGCUCUGGUAGGGUGUAUAGCCCGAGAGAGCCGCAGUGAAUAGGCCCAGGCGACUGUUUAGCAAAAACACAGGUCUCUGCGAAGCCGCAAGGCGAAGUAUAGGGGCUGACGCCUGCCCGGUGCUGGAAGGUUAAGAGGAGGGGUUAUCCUUUGGGAGAAGCUCUGAAUCGAAGCCCCAGUAAACGGCGGCCGUAACUAUAACGGUCCUAAGGUAGCGAAAUUCCUUGUCGGGUAAGUUCCGACCCGCACGAAAGGCGUAACGAUCUGGGCACUGUCUCAACGAGAGACUCGGUGAAAUUAUAGUACCUGUGAAGAUGCAGGUUACCCGCGACAGGACGGAAAGACCCCGUGGAGCUUUACUGUAGCCUGAUAUUGAAUUUUGGUACAGCUUGUACAGGAUAGGUAGGAGCCUGAGAAGCCGGAGCGCUAGCUUCGGUGGAGGCGUCGGUGGGAUACUACCCUGGCUGUAUUGAAAUUCUAACCCGCGGCCCUGAUCGGGCCGGGAGACAGUGUCAGGUGGGCAGUUUGACUGGGGCGGUCGCCUCCUAAAAUGUAACGGAGGCGCCCAAAGGUUCCCUCAGAAUGGUUGGAAAUCAUUCGUAGAGUGUAAAGGCACAAGGGAGCUUGACUGCGAGACCUACAAGUCGAGCAGGGACGAAAGUCGGGCUUAGUGAUCCGGUGGUUCCGCAUGGAAGGGCCAUCGCUCAACGGAUAAAAGCUACCCCGGGGAUAACAGGCUUAUCUCCCCCAAGAGUCCACAUCGACGGGGAGGUUUGGCACCUCGAUGUCGGCUCAUCGCAUCCUGGGGCUGUAGUCGGUCCCAAGGGUUGGGCUGUUCGCCCAUUAAAGCGGUACGCGAGCUGGGUUCAGAACGUCGUGAGACAGUUCGGUCCCUAUCCGUCGUGGGCGUAGGAAAUUUGAGAGGAGCUGUCCUUAGUACGAGAGGACCGGGAUGGACACACCGCUGGUGUACCAGUUGUCUUGCCAAAGGCAUCGCUGGGUAGCUAUGUGUGGACGGGAUAAGUGCUGAAAGCAUCUAAGCAUGAAGCCCCCCUCAAGAUGAGAUUUCCCAUAGCGCAAGCUAGUAAGAUCCCUGAAAGAUGAUCAGGUUGAUAGGUCAGAGGUGGAAGCGUGGCGACAUGUGUAGCUGACUGAUACUAAUCGAUCGAGGACUUAACCAAAC